ensembl:lncRNA
CUUAGGUGUAUUGUUAUUAGUUUGUCAACCGGCACCUCAGGACUGCGGUUGUUCAGACCAAAAGCCCAUUCUGAUCUGCUGGACAUUGUGUUGUUUCUCCAGGAUCAGCGACUCGCAUGCAGACAAACUGCAGACAUAAAAGGUUUUGGCGCACAGUUGAUGUCAUCGUUGACGCACCCAAUGACCAAUCCAUCAACCAUGUCGGCCCCUUUACAACAUAAUUUUUCACCCCUCAGUUUAUACACGCUUGAUUCCUUUUCCUGUGCUCGUUCAUAUUCUGUGUCAUAAUAAAGAUAGCACAAUGAUGCCAUAGUAUGGGACUGUGUAAGCUAGUAUUAUCAGUAGCCUACAUACAAUACAUACCAGUACAAUUGAAUGGAAUUCAGCUAUAAGUGUCACUUCCCAGCGCUACUGACAACUCUUGUGGGAAACAGAUGUCAGAGAAAAUAUUACCAAUAGUAGCCCAAAAUGUUGUUGAUGGAGUGCAUGUGUGUGUGUGUGUGUGUGUGUGUGUGUGUGUGUGUGUGUGUGUGUGUGUGUGUGUUUUCAGGUGUCAGGAUGGAGCACUUUGAUCCAGAUGGGGAAGAAGAGAAGGCCAGAGUCCUUAAAAGGGGUGUGUCUACUUUUGACAGCUCUAACAGGAGGUCACACUCCCCUACACCCACCUGUGUGUCCAUGAAGAGUGACCAGUCCAUGGGUCGACCACUCAACUUUACAGGAGGAGUCUCUCCUAAUGGACAGUAAGAUUAUGACUACGGUUUAUGCUGUGUGUUUGUGUGUGUGUAUGUGUCUUUCUAUGUCUGUGUGAUUAGCAGACAUGAGCAGUGAGAGGAAUGUUCUUCUGAUUGAAGUUCUCCUCUUCUUCUCUAGGAUGGGGCGAUCUAGCUCUAACAGGAGGUCACACUCCCCUACACCCACCUGUGUGUCCAUGAAGAGUGACCAGUCCAUGGGUCGACCACUCAACUUUACAGGAGGAGAUUCUCCUAAUGGACAGUAAGAUUAUGACUCUACUAGGGGUGUAAAUCUCUCAUGACAAAGACGAUCCGAUUCGUAUCUCGAUACAUGGGCACGAUACAAGAAAAGAUGCAGGCUGUCAUUGUUCUGACUGAGAUCAAAUGCAACAGGUCAGCCAGUGUUUUGUGUUUUGCGUAGCAAAAAACGGAGAGACAAACGCUUGUGAACCGGUUCAUAACUUUUAAAUCGGGCAAAGACCGGUUUAUGCCAUUUUAAUACCGAUACGGGACUUCACGCAUCGAUGUAGUCGUAUCUUACACGCUAAAAACGGAUAUCGAUACGUAUCAGGUUUUUUUUACACCCCUAGACUCUACGAUUUAUGCUGUUAGUGUGUGUGUGUGUGUUUGUGUAUGUGUGUGAUUAGCAGACAUGAGCAGUGAGAGGAAUGUUCUUCUGAUGGAAGUUCUCCCAUUCUUCUCUAGGACGGGGCGAUCUAGCUCCUACAGGAGGUCACACUCCCCUACACCCACCUGUGUGUCCAUGAAGAGUGACCAGUCCAUGGGUCGACCACUCAACUUUACAGGAGGAGUCUCUCCUAAUGGACAGUAAGAUUAUGAAUACGGUUUAUCAGGGUGUCCGCGGGGUUUUAAAAAGUAUUAAAAGGUGAUAAAUCAAAAUUGCCAAAUUUAAUGCCAUUAAAAGUGUUAAAUGUAGUUUUAGAGGUAUUUUUUUUUUAAAUAGGUAUUAUUUUUUCAAGUGUCCUAUUCUGAUUGAAAUUCUAUCUUCUAAAGUUUGCUUUAGUUCGUUUAAAUGCGGGCUUUAGCAAAGCUGGGCACAUAAUCAAAGAUCUUCUGUAUCAAUCCUGAAGUCUCAACUUUGUAUGUUUGAUGCUGACGUCAUAUUCAGUGGUCGUUCGACAUCUCAAACACUGCGCGCUUCAACUGGGUAACCAACUGGCUGGCUUACGUUUUUGACUUGCUUAGGCAUAUCUUCAACGUCCAGACAACCAUCGUCGUCGUCAUGGGCAAAUGCAAGUUUUCUGACAGCUGGGUGUAGUAGGGAAUAACCGGCAGGCUUAUUGUUCGGUUUGUAAAAAAAACAUCAAUGUCAACUGGAUGGGAGCUAAUGCACUUCGGUCGCAUAUGCAAUCCACUAAACAUAAAAAUGGAAUGCGCGGUCGGCGAGAGCAGUUCAUUCUACCACUCUGCCAACUGUCUGUGCUGCUGCACCACUAGUGCCACGGUACAAGCCAACGCUACGGCUCCAGCAACUACGUCUGACCUCCGGGUGACUAUGGGCACCACACCAACACUGCAUGCGGAGGCUCUGGUGUUUAAACACUGCAGUUAAACACCACUCACUCAUUGAACUCCAACGAAGGAAUUUCGGAGCUGUUUAAAGAAAUGUUCCCGACUCUGACAUCGCAAAGUCAUUCACGUGUGGUAAAGACAAAACCGGCUACAUCAUCAGAUUUGGAUUAGCAUCGUUCUUCAAAAAACAGCUUGUUGAUAGCAUCAACAAGGCAGGGCCAUUCGUGUUGAUGUUUGCUCAUGAGUUCAUAUUAGGCCUAUAGCACACCAGUUCACGUAGUGGAUGCCAGUUUGUGAAGUAAUAUCAGCAACAAUUCAUAUAGCAGAUGCCAGUUUAUAAUGCAUCAACAGUUCAUGUAGUGAAUGCCAGCCAGUGUGCUGGAACUAUCUCUCCAUUGCACAUUUAAUGUAGUUUGUUUUAUUUUUAUUCACAAAAUGAAAUAAAUGUGUGCAAUAUGUGGUCA